rnacentral:rRNA from 1 species
AUGCUAUGGAGAUGGACGGCCAGUGGCACCUACACGGCAAAGUCCUGCUACGCUGCAACCUUCCAUGGGUCCAUGAAAUGCCCCUCUUGGAAGCUUACCUGGAAGAGCUGGGCGUCGUGCCGCUUCCGUUUCUUUCACUGGCUGGCCAGCCAGGACCGGUGUUGGACGGCAAAAAGACUCGCUCGUCGUGGCCUACAGCACCACCCACGAUGCCUCCUUUGUGAUCAAGCCCCAGAGACAAUGAGGCACCUGCUCCUAGAAUGCCCGUUUGCGCGGUAA